UCCCAGUGAUGAUAACUUUUCCCUGACUUCCACAUGGAGGCAAAUAAAUAACUGAUUUAAUCUGAGGG